rnacentral:rRNA from 1 species
GAGCGGAUGAAGGGAGCUUGCUCCUGGAUUCAGCGGCGGACGGGUGAGUAAUGCCUAGGAAUCUGCCUGGUAGUGGGGGACAACGUUUCGAAAGGAACGCUAAUACCGCAUACGUCCUACGGGAGAAAGCAGGGGACCUUCGGGCCUUGCGCUAUCAGAUGAGCCUAGGUCGGAUUAGCUAGUUGGUGAGGUAAUGGCUCACCAAGGCGACGAUCCGUAACUGGUCUGAGAGGAUGAUCAGUCACACUGGAACUGAGACACGGUCCAGACUCCUACGGGAGGCAGCAGUGGGGAAUAUUGGACAAUGGGCGAAAGCCUGAUCCAGCCAUGCCGCGUGUGUGAAGAAGGUCUUCGGAUUGUAAAGCACUUUAAGUUGGGAGGAAGGGUUGUAGAUUAAUACUCUGCAGUUUUGACGUUACCGACAGAAUAAGCACCGGCUAACUCUGUG